rnacentral:rRNA from 1 species
UACGUAGGGGGCGAGCGUUGUCCGGAAUUACUGGGCGUAAAGAGAGCGUAGGCGGCACUACAAGUCACAUGUGAAAUACCCGGGCUUAACUUGGGGGUUGCAUGGGAAACUGUAGAGCUUGAGUACAGGAGAGGCAAGCGGAAUUCCUAGUGUAGCGGUGAAAUGCAUAGAUAUUAGGAGGAACACCAGUGGCGAAGGCGGCUUGCUGGACUGAAACUGACGCUGAGGCUCGAAAGCGUGGGGAGCAAACAGG